rnacentral:lncRNA from 1 species
CAACCACAUGGAUAUAACACUAGUAUAUGGUAGAAGCGAUGAAUGUCUGAAUUUGAAAUCCUUUGGAGGAAUUACACAGUGCUGAUUUGCCGGAGCUCAAUCUAUUCCUUUUUGGAGAUUCCUUCAAGAUCAGAAUCAGUGGUGAGAGCUGUCUUACUGAAUCACCAGCUCGUGGUUCGAAGCAACCUCUCGGCACUGGAUCUGUCCUUUUGCCCUUCAAGAUCCCAAUCGUGGAAUUCAAAACAGCACACUGAUGACAUCAUUUGGAACCCUGGUCGCUGGCCAAGCGAGUCAAUGUGAUGUAACGUACCCUCAAACCAGAUUCUUUCGGUAGAAUUUAUCCUACUAUGGGUGAUGGGUCAUUGGGACUCAUAGUUGCCCAUUGGAGCAUACCGGCACUAGAUAAUUUCAGAAAUGUUCUUAUGCAGAUUACUCCAAAAUAGUUUACUUUUCAGAUGCAAUAUCAAAUGGACUGGUGUUAAACUCGACACAUUGUAACUGGCCCGCUAGAGGAUGGAUGAAGAUGGAGCAUUGAAGCUUAUUCCUUCUUCAAAUGUGAAGCAGUACAUGCUUGCUGGUGACGUCGCAGUUAGAAGAGCUCAGAUAUCUGUUAAUGCGGUGAUUAAGGUGGCCUGCAGAUUGUACAUAUGGCCAUGCAAACUGUAGAUUGCACUGUUUGCAGAGGGAAGUUUAAAGUGAGAGAUAAGCAAGCUGCUGGAGAUAGACUAAAAGUUAAAAGAAGUUGUGCUGAGCGUAUGGAGGGGAACCAGGAAACCAGCUUAGGAUCUUUGUUCUCACGUUGGUGUGGUGCUAGAGAAGAAAUAAAAUGACCCUAAGGCUAGUUUGGGAACUUUAUUUUUCGAAUAAAUUUCUAUUUUCCAAGAGAAAAUGGCCUAAUUUCCCAAAAAAAUGGGGUUUCCAAACUAGCCCUAAAUAAACAAUACAAGUACAGAUGGAAUUUUGUGAAGUCAGUGGUUAAUGGAAUUGAUUUUCCAGAUUAAGAAACAGUACCAGUUGAAUUUUCUUUCCAGCUAGUAUAUUUUUUUCCUGAGAAGUUGUUACUUAUAUCCUAGUUAUUAAUCAGAAUCUUAAUAUAUGCAGUGCAGGGGAAAAGUCUACUUAUUACUAACUAGAGCAGCAUGUUCACACAGUCAUGUAAAUGUCUCAUGGUUGUAUUUAACCAGGUUCACGCGAACGAAUCUGGUGGGUUCAGCUUUUGAGCCUCCAAGUGUUAGGGAGAACUAGUCGAUGGGUUAGCUCAUCGUGACUUCAUGAGAUGAAUUGGGGUCACCAUGUAGGAUGUGGUUGUUCACAUGGUCCCAUACAUCUUUGCAAACGGCAAGGGUUCUCUGUGCUUUUGUUUUGACCCUGCAAACCAUGAGGACUCACGAGGCUUCUGCUCCAGGUUGUGGACAACCAAGGCUUGAUCAGGUUUAUGUGUCUUUCUACGCCGAGGAGCUGCAAGCUUCCAUGACCUUGGAGGUUUUGCCUCAAAGGUAGAUUUCGCUCGAGAAGAAGCCUACUGGCAAAUGCAGGAUGCAAUACAAUUACUCCCUCCGUUUCGUUUUAAUUGUCGCUGGAUAAUACAAAAUUGAACUAUCAAGGGACAACUAAAAAGAAACGGAGGGAGUACUUGUGUUGGUUAGCUUUGACAGGCGGAUCCAUCGGAGAAGGUGAUUGAAGUAUGGUGACUAGGUGAGAAAAGGCUGUAGUUAUUGUAAAUCCCAUGCUGUUACAGAAAAUGCAAGCUCUCCUUUAUUUUUUGGGAUAUGUGAAGUUUUUUAGUGACAAAAAAGGUCUAUCAAGAGACUCAGAGAGAGAAGAACUUCCAUAUAAUUUGUGGUUAUUUAUUG